rnacentral:lncRNA from 1 species
UCUUGCAAAGAGAGCAGUACAUAUAACAUGAGUCUACUGUGUGUGAGAUAAGGGGAAAAUUCAGCUCACUGACUAGAGGUUUUAAUGUGCGAACUCUAGGGAAAUAAUAUAUUGACUGUUCCGUGGCGCGCAAGAAAAUUGAAGAACCCUUUGCAGACGGAGUGCUUUGCAAAGGAUUCUAUCUGUUUCUCUUAAAACAAAAUCUGUGGCAAGAUGUUUGAAAUCAGCAGGACGCUUAAUGCUGCUUUGUUAAAUAAUGAGGUAAUAUUUUGUCACUUUUUUCUGGGCAGCAUCUGUUUUUCCCCCCUUGCUUCAUUUUUCCCCCUAUGUUUAUAAAGGAUUUUUUUUUUCCUUUCCUCUCAUGGAAGUCAAGGAAAUACAAUUCACGCUUCCAUUUCUGUUUCUUCCUUUCAGUGCUUUUGGAGAAUUUGGUUGUCUUUUUUUUAUUUGCAGUUUCAGCCGGCUGCUGUUUCCUAGCCCAUUGUGCCACGUAAGGCUUCUCCACUGCGCGGAGUAGGUAGUUAUUAACGCUGAAUUGGCUUCUGGUACAGUCCAUCUGGACUCUGUGUGGGAAAGCUGGCUGCCGGCGACUGAUGCUGAGAUAUCUGCAACCUUUGGGAUGUGUGCAUGGUGGCGAGGGGCUGACUGAUAUGAGAUUACUUCUUUUAAGGGAAAUUGUUAUUAAUGAGUCAAGAAACUGCUCAUUUAUGGUAAGAGGGAUACAGCGGCGCCGGCAGCCCCACAGCUCUGGGAUAUCAUUUUUAGGUUGCCUGAGCUGCUUGAGUGAGACAAGUUUCUUUCUGUGGUGGUGGAUUGUGGCAGGAAAAAAAAAAAAUCAUGCAUGACUGGGAGACUCGCCUGCCUGAUUCUUGAGAUAAUAUAUUGAGAAUCUGUUGCUUUACAAAUGUCACACCACUGAUGUAGCGGUCAGCCCCUCACUCUGAAAGAUGAAUGGUACUAUUGGAAAUGCGAUAAUAAGGUUGACUUUUCCCAACAAUAGGAUUCUGCCUUUGUCUUUAGAGAAAAGGCCUCUGAGGACAUUUGUGCAUUUGUUGGAGGAUUCCGUUGAAAGACUUUAGAGUGGAGGUUUUUGGAGAAGUGAUCAAAAUACAAAGUGCGUGGAUUUUUUUUAGCCUAAGCAAACCAGCUAAUUAUUUAUACUGUAAUAUACAGUUAUUAUCUUGGAAAAAUAGCCCGAAUAUCUUUUGAUAUACCUGAUGUUAAUUUACGGUUCACUAAGUGUGCUGAGGUUAGUGUGGAUGGGAGAAAAGGGUUUUUAAAAAUUCCAUAUUUUAUAACCUGCACCGAAAAUACCAAGUAAAUAUUUUGUUCCAAGAGAGUUGUUUUUAUUUGUGUGUUUGUCAGCACUGUGUUAAUAUUUACUUUUCACAAUAUUUUGAUGUUGAUGAGAUCACACUCGAGUUUCUGUUCUUGAUUCGAGCAUAUAUACCUACCCUGUGUACCUAUGUUGAGCCAUUUUCAACACUUAACCUGCAAAUUCAUCCUUAGUUAACAGUUCAGGUACCAUAGUACUGUUAUGACUUAUAGGACUUUACACAUUUGCUAAAGAAAUUAUUUUAAAAGUUUACUUAAUUCAGUGUUGUUCCACUUGAAGAGAUUAUAGUUUUAACAUCUCUACUUUUCUAUUUCAUGUACUUUCAUUUCUAAUAGUUGAACUUAUUUAUAUUCAAGUCUAAUAGUUCAUGUAGUGUACCUAACACAUAUUAUUUUAUGGUGUAUCUGUGUUUUUUGAAGUGUGUUUAUGUAUAUGUACAUUUAUGUGUGUGUGCUCAUGAAAUACUAUCCCCAAGAGAAUAGUUUCAAUCUUUAAAAAUGUAAAGGUUAUUUUCUAACAAUUUUUCACAAACCCAUUCAUCCUUGGACUUUGAAUCCUGGAAAUAUAGCAUAUUUUUCAGCAUGUAUUUCUACUCUCUCCAGUCCUGUGCCACUGUCAACUCAGUCAAAGAUUAAAGAUUAGGUUGAGUUUUUUUCCUUUGGUCAUGUUUAUUAUCUCUGUAUAUUUAUUGAGGAAUAAAUUAAUUAAAUUAAAAAUUAAACAAAUAGUGAUGCUAGUGUUUUGCAUAGGUAUGAGGCAUAAAUUUUCCAGGUAAGCUACUUUAAAAACCCAAAGCAGAACCAAAAUAUAUAUAUUACUGAAAGCUGGGUAGCAGAGAGGUUACAAAAUAUAGAACAGGAAGACAAACUGGGUAUAGCACCACACAUUUGCUAAAUCUCUCUUUGCAAAUCUUUUAAGAGGCCAAAGGAAAAGGACAUACUUUGAAGGAGAGAAGCAAAAUCACUUGUUCAGUUAAGCAAGAUGAGCACUCUGCUCAGGUAAUGAAAUAAGGUUUUUUAUUUCAGAAGAAUGUUUUACUUUUAUAGCGGUGGAAAGCAAAGGGGAAAUGUGUUUUGGUCGAUUUUUAAAAAUUCAGAUCAUGCCCCUAUCCAGGUUGAGAAAUAAAUUCAUUUAAAUAAAUCAUUCAUCAUUCUCUGUUUUGAAAAGCUCAGACAGAAGGCAGAAAGGUAGAGGCUGACAGCAGUCCCCCUCCUCCCUCCAGAUUUUUUUUUUCUUUUUUGUUUAUCAGGGACUGUUUUUUCCGAGAGGCAAACUUGUUUCAACCUAGUUCACAGAGCAAGCAUAAUCCCAAACUUGCAUGCUUUUGAAAUAUUGACCAUGUUAGCUGCAGAAAAAGCAUUACUUGGUAAACAUCAGCAAUAUUGGGAAAUAAUAAAGUUAAAAUGUAAAAGUGUAAGCACAUUAAAGUGCUUUUGUUGUAUCUUUAAGCCUAGAGGCAGAUCAUUAAAUAUGCAUUUCACUAGAAAGCAACUGUCGAGAAAGAUAAGGCGGUUGAAAAUAUUCUACACUAGAAAAGCCCUCCAUCAGAGAGAUGGGAUCGUGCAUCCCUCAGGACAGGGGAAAGGAAGGACACUCCCACUGUUAAGGUUUGCAAGCCUCCAGGGACCUGCAGUUGUUACAGUACUUUUGAGCUGGGAGGAGGGAAAAGGUAAAAAUACAAGUAUGGCUGUUGUUGCUUCCGCCGGGCCUUAAUUACUAGACACAAGAAGCAGUUCAGAAAUCUGGUCUCUGUUGUUGUAGAGGUCACCAAAUCAUUAACAUCGUCAAUCUGGCAGUAGCUAAUUUAAAUAGCACCUGAUGUUGCAACGCCUCCCUUCGUUUCCCCAGCCAAUCAGAUUCUAGCUUUGGCUGACAGAUGGUCCCAUAAAUGGAUGUAAAAAGGGGAAGCUUCGAGCCAAUUUCAGCAAGGCUCUGUUCAGUUGUUCUUAUCUACAUCCUAGAAUCGGGGGUUUCAGCUCACUGCUCCUUUUCUUUCUUUUUUUUUUCUUUUUCUCCCACCCCCACUAUCCCCCCCCAAAAAAAAAUUAAUUGAUUUACUUUAUAAUCAUCCGCACUGUGUUUUGUGGAUCUUUAAAUAUAUAUAACAAUAGUAAUCAUUUAAAAAAAUAUAUUCUGAAACCUUUGCAAAUUUUAAGAGAAGAGUCGAAGCUCUGCGAGACCCAAUAUUUGCCAAUAAGAAUGGUUAUGGUAGGUAUGACUAGAUUUAUAAUCUGUUGUUUGUGUUGCUGGAGGGAAGACAAGCAUCUACACCUUGACCAGUCUUAUGCUUGUACAAGAGUUUAGUUCUCUGCUGCUGUGUGGUUCCUACAUUUACUAUAUCUUUUGUGUAGAGUGCGGGUAGGUCCUUUUAUUGAAAAGCAGUGGGGAGAUAGAUUGUCAUUUUUAACAGGUCGUUGUCAGUUUUCCCUUCAACAUAAAAGCGGAGGGUGGAGGGUGGGAUGAAAUAAUUGCUGGUUUGUUGAAAGAGAUUAUGUUACUUGAGAUCAUCAUGGCAAAAGAAAGGUUUUCUUUUUUGUAAGGGAGAAGGGGUUUGUCUACAUGCCUGGGUUUUGUGGGGCUGGGGGGUGGAUGCAGCAGGGUUAGGAUCUCUCCAUUUCGGUGCUGGAGAUUUAAACCUCGAGAGGCAGCUCCAGGAUGCUGAACGUUGAGAUGGGCAGUUGUGUUUGGGGGACUGCGCAGUCAAAACGGCAAAGAGAGUGAUUUAUUUGGGCUUCAGUAAAUGCUGCAUCUUGUAUUUCAAAGAGUUUCCUGUCAUGACCUCAUAAAAAAGAGGAGGCGGCUUGUAUGUGUAGCGGUGCCUGGCGUGUUGAGUUGUUGCUUCCUUCUCUGGGCAGCAGCUCUGUAAGAAGGAAUGUCAGCUUUUACAUAACGUUCCUUUCCGCUUUUGACACACUGUGUGAGGGUCCAUCUUCUUCUGAUCACAGAUGGAGUGGAAUGGCUUGAAGAUGGUAAGUGAAAAGAGGAAGGAAGCUUGUAGGUUUCAGUCGUGUGUGUGUGUGUGUGUGUGUGUGUGUAAGGAUGGUGGACUGUGCAUCGUAAAUCACUCUGCUGAUCGCUUGUGUGUGUUUAUUAGUAUUUCUUUUUUCUGAAAACCAGAAUUCACCUCCAAGUAUAAUGGCAUUGCAUGCACACAAGGCACACACAUUGCCUUUUCCAUCAAACACACAUUUUAGCCAAGCAAGGUUGGUGUCUUUUUUGACAAUCACAAUGUCACCGUCACUGUUGGCUGGCGUGUCCACUGCCUCUGUGAGCCUUCAGCAGAAUUACAUGACUAUUAAAGUUAAAGGCACAUUUCUUUUUCAGUCUCAUGCUAAGAGUGAUGGGGAAGGCUGGAAAUGAGGGGUGGAGGAGGUAAGAUUCAGUACCAGCAGAUGCAAUUGGGAAACAGGACUUUUGGAUGUGGAUGGGGAAGUGGAAAACCUUUCUGCCGAAGUAGUAAAUCUAUUUUUAGCACCAUCUUUUUUCUGAAAAAAGAAGCAGGGAAACUCCUUGAGUGCCGCUCCUGUCGCCUGAUGUUGACCCUGAAGAUAUGGCACAAAAUGGCACGAUGAGAUGCCACGAGUGCCCACUUUGACUUUGAAUUUUUACCAGCAAUAGCUUUCUCGGGGUUUCGGGGCUGGGUAUAGGGGGAGGCUGUAAAUUCAUAUCCAUCUCACUUAUUUUUCACUAGAGAAGCCGGGGAAGACUUCUCGCUCGGCAUAGACAUUAUAGCAAAGCUGUGGUCUUUUUCCCAUUCUUAGAGGAUUGCCUUUGUCUGGCUGCUUGUUUUGAUGGGUGUAAAACAAAUAAGAUUAGACCGAGCAGCCCAACUGAAAGCGAUAGCUGGGAGGAAAACCCAAUGAAAGGUUGCCGGGGAAACGAACAGAGGAGAAGCCGAGUAGGGAGCAGGUGGCUAUCAUGAGAACACACUGCAAACAGUGUAAAAAAAGAGGGGGGGGGGGCGCGACAGGACCUCGAUUAUCUUUGCUGUUCUUUGUGGCCAGCCCAACUUUAAUUAUUCUUUAUAAAUAGGUGUUAAUUACAUUUCUAACUCUGGUUUACAGUGAUUUUAGAAAUCUAUUUUUAAGCAUCUGUUCUGUCUCUCCUGUUUUUCUUUUUGUUUAUUUGUUUAAAAAACAGAGAGAAGAGAGGGGGAAGGGAAGGGAGGGUAGGGAAUCUUGCUUUUUUUUUUUUUUUCUUAUUCCCCCCUUUUCCCUGCUGUGAAAUUGUACGUGCGAAAAAUCGCAAGGAAUCCUGUGAGGCCAUUUGAAAAAAAUGUAAAUUAUAUUGAAUGAAGUUGACAGAAGCAUAAUAGUGAACUCCCACAGCUGAUAGCUUCUGAAAAUGAUUUCUUAGAAAUUUCCAGCAAAUAUUCAUCAGAAAAAAAUAUUAUUAGAAUAGAUUUACACUAAGCAAUGAUUUUGUGUUAGGUGAUACUGAUAUUUUUACUAAAUCAAAUGUUGAUACUAUAGUUCUGAGGAGUUCAUUGUAUCUCUCCUUUUAUGUCCCAAGUAGAAAUUACUUUUAAAAUUAAUAACUGGAGAGCUAUUCUCUGGCCCUUUGAUUCCCUUCCCUCCCCAUGCCUUCAGCUACAGGCUCCAUCGGGCUGCACCCUCACAGCCACUGUUUCCCAUUUGGCAUUUGGUCCUGGAUCUGGUUUUGGCAGAAACUGAGUGAAAAUCUGGAUUUUUUUUUUCUGUGUGUGCCUCUGAACAUCUAGGACCCAUGUGUGAGCAGGGUAACAGGCAUCUCUCGCUUUUUCUCUCUCUUACUGUGCUUUACUACUAGUGUCUUUUCCCCAUGAUGGUAGGUACCAGAAGGACUGAAAGAUAGAGUACUUAGAGAAAUAGGAGAUAGUGUAAAAAUAACUGAAAGAGAGAUCUGUUAUAGUUUCUUCCUGGGAGGAAAAAUAGGCACAUAAUCAGGUAGCUAAUUUUAAUCCCCCCAAAUGAGAGAUUAAAAAAUACUGAAAUACAUUGCAAGGUUAGGAAAUAUAACCAGCGCUAUUGAGAGAACUGUUAAAUCUCACUCUUCUCAUUGCAAAUCUCCACACACACACCCACCAUUCUUUUUUCCUUGCAGAUGCUUCUUUUUGUUUUGUCUUCCUGGUAAAUUUUAAUAUUUUGUUUUGACUCUUGAGGUAAAAAUAUACGUAUAUUUUUGGUCCUACAUUUGAACUUGUUCUCAUAUCUUGAAUGCAUAAACCUAUGUCAUAUUUUAAAAUAGGAUACUUUUUUAUUAUCUUUAGUAUAGUUUCCUUUUUAUAAUUUCUGAGAAUUUUCUAGUAGUUUUUGGUUAGGAGAAAAUAAUUUCCAUAAGAACUGUCAUCUUGGUUUGGUUUGUUAAAAAAAAAAAAAAGACACGUGGUUCUGCUGCUGACCUUUCUUGCUUCUUUGUCUUAAAAAAUAUUAAUGCCUACAACCUGCUUGUGGAGGUGUGCCUUUACAGAAGCACAAGGCUGAGUGUACAUUUAUUAAUGAGUGAACAUCUGACUGGAAAUAUUUCUGCAAAAAAAAAAAACACCUGACUAUAUCGCAGUUUUAACAAGCAGAACACCUAUAUAUCUCAUAGCAAAAUAAUGACUGCAUCAUUUAAUAUUUAAAUUUUUGAAAGAGUCAAAUGAGCAUAGAUAGGGAAGUAACUGAAAAUUUAGUUUGAGAACAAUUGAUGUAUGAGGUGAUUUUAUCUCUUUAAAAAAAAUAACCUAACAAACAACUUAACCAUUCAUUUGGAUCUUGGUCCCAUUCAUUCCUCACUACUAUUCAUUCAAGUCAUCCUCCUGGCCAGAUAUCGAUGAGCUUGCUUCUGUUCAAUGGUUUGCGCAAAGUCUUAAAACUUUUUUUUCUCCUUGUAGCUCUUUCUCAGUCCUUUGAAUGUAAGGGUUUUAUUGUGAGAGGAAGGCCAGAUUGUUGUGAGGUAGUAAUAGUAGAAUAUAUUUUUAAAAAGAAAGAAAAAGAAAAUGAACUACGUGUGUGCAGUUUGGUUCCAAACUCAGUCUUGCGAAGAGGGUUUAAGACAUGUUCGACUUCAGAUAAUUUAAAUUUAGGAUUUCUGUUGGGGAUAAUCUAUUUGAAAUUUCAAAUCUAGAGGUGCUUUGUGUGUCUGUGUGUAUGCCAUAGCUCUAAAAGAAUUUGUGGAUGAAUGGAAGUGUUUUUCUCAAGUUAGAGUUACUACCAACAAUGAAAGGGUUUCCUCAGGGCAAGUCCUUUUCUUUGGUUAGAUUUCUUCCCUUUGCACUUAUCUCCUUAUUGUGGGUGGAUUCUCUUCCUACAUGUAGACAAAAUACUAUUCCUUCUAUGAAGAGAUGUGCUGCUUCAUUUAGCCCUAGCAUCUUAAUGCUUUAUUUUAAUUAAAAAAAAAAAGAAGAAGAAGAAACAAAUUAUCUAUGUGUACCGCAAGUAAGGAAUGGCGGUGUUGAUAAAGGUGAUUAUAUAUGGACAGAAGUACUUUGGCCUUGACAAAUUUCUUCAUCAGUUCCAGUGAUCUGUGGCCACCAAGCACUUAAUUUAUAUGCCUGGACAUUUAAUAUGUACAUUUUUGGUGAGCUGGCCAGCGGAUGCUAGAUAUAUAAGUAUGCGCUGGCAAGUGCUGCAAUGCAGUAUUUUUUUCCCAAUGUCAUUGAGAGUUUUGGGGGUAAGAAGAGACAGUAACACUAUCAAGCUAUUAGUUUACUAUUUUCCAGUUGACCGGCCAUGUUGUACAGAAUUGGUCAAUUCUCCUUUUAGAAGUAAAGUCAACAUUUUAUUGCCUUCUAUCCAUUCCGCCAUCUAUUUGAUGGUGUGUGGAAGGGAAUGUGUGUGAAAAAGAGAGGGAGAGACUGUGUGUGUCUCAGUGUGUGUGUUGCUGAAUUCCUCCACCUGUCUUAGGUUUUCCUUAUUUGGUGUUACCAAAUGCUUGUAUAGAUGCACAGUAUAUAAAGAAAACCCAACUGGACUGAUUCCCAUAAUAAAUAGCUUAUUUCCUUCAUGAACUUCAAGAGUUCUCUUAUUAGAAAAAUACAACAUUUUAAAUAUUUAACCAAAAAUAUAUAUGCAGAUCCUGCAGACUUCCAUUAGUAACCAGACACCUUUCUUUAGCUGCUUUUGAAGAACUAUAAAUGUGCAGAUCCCGAACAAUAUCUGUGAGCUACAAGCUGCCCGUUCAGUUAAGGGUUGGGUUUGAGUUAAAUUGUGUGUAUGUGUAUUUAAGAGGAAUGUUGUUAUUCUUUGGAAGCAUUUGAACAUAGUCUUACACUGUUAAAAAUAAGGAGGAAAAGUGGUUAUGUAGCAUCCUGUGCUUUGGUUUUUAGAAAUGUGUGUGUGUUUAAUGAUUAUCCUUGAAUUUUUGAAACCUUAGUGUAUUUUAAGGGUUAAGAGGGCCUUUAUAGGUCAGUGGCUUUGUAAGGAGGAAAAAAAUGACCUGUGGGGGGAGGGUGCAGGACUGGGAAUUGUCACCAGCAGUAAUUGUCUUAAAUUAGCUAUCUAGCAGUGAAAAGGGAAAAAAGCUAGAAGACAAGAGUGGAGAGGGGCACCAACAUGUGGAUCUGCACCUUUCUGAUAGAGGAGAUAAUGAGUGAUAAAUUUGAACUGGUGCAGUGCGGGAUGCCCUAUAAUUUCUGAGAACCUUGAUUUUGCAGGUUCAUUACUUCCUUGCUUGCUUGUUCACACCUUUAAUUAUAUCCAGUUUGGGAUGCUAGCUGGGGGCACAGAGAUGAGCCAUUUUGUUUGUUGUUUACUUCAUUAAGUAUUCAGGCAGUGUGUUCACAAUAGCUUUGGAGCAUCAGUGUUAGGAAUCAAACACUUUGGAAAUGAAAUUGUUACAAAAGGACAAAAAUAAGAAAGCAGGCAGCCAGCUAGCUUGUUUUGGAUGUUCACAUCCACUCUGCUUAAUGGUAAUAUUUAUGCUGUUCCUUGUACAUUCAUUAAGAAAUAGUGUAUGCAGUGUCAGUGCUCUUAAUAGGCUGAUGGUUCUCUCUCUAUUUCUGUCUCUUCCUCUCCAUCCCAGCCCUGAGAUUCUGCGUUCACCCAGGCUAUCUUAGGAUUUUGGAGGCUCAUUAUUGGGGGUCCUUGUUGUAACUAACACCAGAGAUAAUUUCCCCUCAAUAAGGAGACCUGUCUACAACGAUUAAGAAGUGCUUAGAGCGGUAAAGGAACCCUUAAAUAAAUUUUGGUUGAGAAGGCAGUAAAAAUGUUGAAGAAUUAAGGUUGGUGUAAUUAUUGUGCUUGCAUUUUUGGCUUUUGUUGUUUUUGUAAAGCCUUAUUUUUAACCACAAAAGUAAAAUAUAAAACUAGAAUAUGGGAUUUUUUUUCUUUAAUGGAAAAAAAUUAUAUGUCAUCGGCCUCUCCUGAAAAUAACUUCCCCUGAACUCUUGGUAUGAAAAAUAACAUUUAAACUUGAGUACAAUUUUUCAGUUAUUCAUUUUAACCUAUAAAUAUGUAAUUAACAAAUCUCUUUCCCAUAGGAAGUUUAGGAUUUUUUUCAGGAUAUGAGGAAGCAGAGAAAGGAUUCCAGCCAAGAUGGCGAAUUCUGCAAAACACACCACAGCACAGAGGUUUCCUCUGUACUCUGUGGCAUCAAAUCCUUUCCUAUUCCUAUGAAGCAGUCAUCCUCGAUUGUUAUCUACUCCUGUAGCAACUAGUCCUUGAAGUUGUUUUGCCAAUGGUGUUCAUAGUAGUGACUGACUCUCGUUGCUGUUUGUUGAGGACUUACUAGGUGUAUUUCUUUGGAACAUAGAAUUCAAGGUCACCGUUUCUUUUUCUUUUGACCCUGAUCCAAAAACAUAAUUAGAGGAUAAUUCCCUGUACUUGGGGAUAAAGUUAAGGUGAGGGGUUUUAGGAUUGGACAACACAGAAUAAGGCUUGUGUCAAAAUAUGAGUAAAGGUUCGUCAGAACAUUCACAUGCAUGCAUGUUUUCCCUUUUGUAUUUGUACGAAUCUAAGAGUGAUUCCCAAAGAAAGAAAUCACAGGUAUUUUGCACAUUUUUGUCUGUACAGUUCCAUGUAUCCAGAUGUUCACUCUUAGGAAGACGUAGUUUGGACAGUUAGAAGCAACUUGACUUUCAGUCAGCUAGUUGCCUAUGAAACUUGGCUGGAACCUGUUAGUUUUACAGAAAUAUGAAUGCCUUGCUUCUCACAGAAAUGCUUCUUUGAACAUCUUUUCCUAUUACCCUGGAGUUGUUGGACAGCUAGUGACCUUUUGGUCUCCCAUGUGCAAACUGGAAGUUUACUAGGAGAGCAGAAAGCGUAGGUUUACUUUAUUAUGCACAUCUAGAUAUUGUGUACUGUUUGUGUGAAUGUGUGUGCACAGGCAUGCGUGCACACACAUGUGAGAUAUAAACAGCCCUGACCCCUGGUGUGCCUUGACUGUGGCUUCUCAAGUAAUCCCUAUUUUCCUAGGUCAUAAAUCUAAAUGCUUUAAAGUUUAGCUUUCUAAUUUGUACAUGAAAAAUAACAGUCUGAGUUGAACUUUUUUUUUUCCAAAUGUCCCCUUUGAAGAUGCAGCAGUAGUAAACACAGCUCUAAUGAUAAACUUUAGCUCAAAGAGCUAUUUAAAAGUCUGUAGUGGAAGGGCUGAGAACUUGCAAUCUUUACUAAUGAAACUUUCAUUAGGAAAGUGCUCACUUAAAAUGGAGUAAACGACUAAGUCCCUGCAAUUUGUGAUUUUAACCAGAUUUGAUUCAUCCUUUUUCAUGUUUCUUUUUGUAAUGCAGCCAACCACACAUUUAAAAUUUGGAUAUUGUACAUGUCUUCAACAUUAAUUAUCUCUGUUGGUGCAUUGGGUACAAACAGUACAAUUCCCACUAGAAGUCCAGAUUCUUACUGUAACACCAAAACAAAAGUGAUAUUUAUGAAUAAUAUUGGGAAAGUUGUCCUCAUAGUAACUGUUCCCCAAAGGAAGCUUUACAUAAAUGUGCAUUUAUUAUUCAGUAUAUUAAAAGGGAAUCCUUAGCUUUUACUUUUUAAUUUGGACUAAAAUAUGUAAAUUGGUUUUAUUUUGGAGUUGCUCUGUUUUAGGUGGCUUUGGGGGAGGAUAACUUUCUAGCUUGAUUAUAUUUUAAUCACCUCUAUAAUAGGAAAGGUUCCAGUUUUGAAAUCAACCUGCUUAUUGUGAUUAGGACCCAGAGGGCCAAUGUGCACAUAGGGCUAAAAACAUAUCGACUUGUCCACAUGUAGGAAAAUUAGUUCCAUUUCUACUAUAUACCUCUGUUACCGUGCUUUGUUGGCAAGGCUGGCUCAGAGGCUGCAGAACAACAAGUCUCCCUCUAACCUUGGAGGAACUUCAUCAUGUACCUGUACAGGCAAGCCUCUGCAAAGAUUUUUCUUUAUCUAAAGGAACCCAAAAGUACAAAGGACUUCAGAGUCUGGUGGAUGUGAAUCCUGACUUUUCCAAUUAAUAAUUUGGUGAUCUUAGAUCAGGUACUUCAACUUUCAGAGCCUUAAUUUCCUCAUAUUUAAGAUGGGGACGAUAAUGCCUGACUCACAGGGUUUCUGUGAGGAUCAAAUGAGAAACAGUACUCGAAGGCACCAGUCAUAUGUAGGACCUGAAAAUUGAAGGUGCUUAGAGAACAUUAGGUCUCUUUCAGACUGUCAGUCUUUCUGUUUCUUGGCCAAGGCCCUCCCCCAAGAAGAGGUCUAUCCUCCCCUGCCAGAUGUCCUGGGAAGUGACAAGUGUCACUAGCACAGUCUACAUCUUCCUACCAGCAUUCAAGGGUUUUGACACAUGGUGGGUUUGUUUUUUUUUUAACAUGGACAAGCCCUCAAUUCUCUGAAGUUGUAUGACUCUUAGGGCUUUGCAGAGUACAUCAACGCUCUCUUUGGAAUUAGAAUUAACGUGGGAUUUAGUCAUCAAAAGAGAAAAAGGGUGAAGAUAAAAUCAUUUUAACCAGUACUAUUUUUUAAUUUCAUGAAACAGCCUGUUAGGAAAUUUAGAAAUCAACCAGAAAGGAAAUAAAAAUGAGAUGCAAUGCCAGGUGCAGUGGUGCAUACCUGCCUGGGCAACUUAGUAAGACCCUGUCUCAAAAUAAAAAGGGCUAGGGGUGUCACUCAGAAUGCUUGCCUAGCAUGCAUAAUGCCUUGGGUUCAAGCUCCAGUACCCACUUCCAAAACUGGGGUUUGAGCAUACUUGAUGAGGGCCAAUCUUUGCUGUCUAAAAUGUAUAUUGUAACUUGUGGGUUACUUGAAUUUUGCCCAGAAACCAACUGACUUUAGAGCUAUUUUUGCCCUUUACCAUGUCAGCCUUUUUUCUCUAUGCCCCUUGUUUUUCCAAUGGGCUGAAUUUUGAAGUUCUAUUUCUCAAGAAGCAGUGAAGAGGUUGAGGCAAAAAGUGACUUAAUGAGAUUUUUCUAACUUGCCAUCAGUUUUCCUCCUUCCGCUUGGUGAGGCAGGAUGAUGGAUGGCUUUGGCAGUGCAAACAGCUCUAAAAGUGAUCAGAUUGAGUGAAGAGGUGUGCGAGAUGUGAGCAGAAUGCUGGCCCUCGAUUUAUUACCCUCCCAUUUGAGGAGACAGAGAGAGGGGGAGGGGGGAACACCACAGGGGCUUUGACAUCAUUGAUUACAUACACUUGGGAAGGGGUAGCAAAUGGGGUCAGGGACAGGUGUUAGGACAAACCUAAUUUUGUGCCUGAAGGGGUCAAUAGGCACAAUAAAUAAAUUCACAAGUUGUCCUAAAUUGGGACCUGUUGCUCUUACCAGUGAGAAUGAAAAAAAUACAAAUAGUUCCUGAUGGAGUUCAAGACUUAAACUACAAACACAAUCUUAGAACAUCUUUUUAAUGUCACAGAUGCUGAAUUCUAUUUUGUUAGAUCAUGGAAAAGAUAUAAAGGGGAGUCACUUCAUUUAUUUAAUCCUUACAACUAGGGCAAGAGAGAUAAGUAGUUCUGCCCCCCACCCAAAGCUAUUCUGUAGGCCUGAUGCUUUUCUUAAAAAAAAAAAAAAAAGAAGAAGAGAGAAAGAAAGAAAGAAGGAAGGAAAGAAAAAUCCAUUACCGUGAAACAGACCACAGAACUUUUCUCUUUCCUCAUGAAUCUAUUUCAAGACUUCACCAAGAAUAUUCCAAGUGUUUUGCAGGUGUGUGUAUAUAAUUUGUAUGUGGCGUGCAAGUGCUCUGGAAGAAUUUGGGUGAUCUUCAGAAUGUGCUUGUAUGGGCAAAAACAUAGCUGUAAAAAGGGGGACACUGGGGCCCAGGAUGUAGCUCCAUGGUCAGAGUGCUUGGCUAGCAUGUGUGAGCUGUAGAAUUGGUCCCCAGUACCAAAACAAAGAGGGGGGGGCUUGAUUUUGGAAACGGGUGGUAUAGAAGAUAUUUCUUUAUACUUUAACCUAGAAAAUCUCACACCUCUUAAUGAAGGAUGAAAACGAGAUGAUUGGAUUAGUGAUUUGAAUAGGCAAAUGGUCAGGAUGGGGGCAGGUGGAUAUUUAUAGGCCCUUCUUGUUGGACAGGUGUUUGUAUUAUUAAAAAAUUGAAAAUUUAUCCAUAUGUAAGUCAAUACCUGAAUCUCAGUUUUUUCUUUUGUUACUUUUCUAGUUUAAAAAGAAAAGAUUUUGAGCUUAGAAGAGCAAUAGUAAGAACUCUUAGGUCUCCAGUGAGUGAAUUUUGGAGACACAGGCUUGCCGUUGGUGUCAUCUUAACAGUACUAGCAGGUUUUGUCAGUGUUCCAAGAACAGAGGAGCAAGUCUGCAUUCUAGAACUUCAGUUAUUUCCCACACAGUUCUGCUUAGAACAGAUCUGUGACCAAGGAGAUCAUCUCUCAUACUCACUUGGCAUUGUAUAAUUUUUGCCCUAUGGUGUCAGUUUGAUCUCUUUAAUGUAAUUAGAACAGGUACUAUUGACCCUUUUUUGUAGAAAAUAAAGCUUAGCUACUUGCUUAAGUUUACAAGUUCAGCAAUAUUAGAAGUCAUUGCUCCAGAGAGUUUGGAACAUGUCCAGCUUGGCCAAAAAUUACAUUUCUUGGGAGAAACAAAGAAAGGUAAUCCCCUUUCUAGAUCGAAUAUAUAUUGUUAUGUCUGUUGCCUCAUAGGAAGUCUCAGUACUUACUUCCCAUUGUAAUAUAGUGGGAAAGGACAAUGAUAGGCAGAAUAUGGAUGGUGUCUGGGCAGAGGCGGUACAAUGCACAGAAGAGGGAGAUAUCAGUUCUUGUUGAGGAAAGUAGGUAAGAUUUCAUGAAGGGAAUGCCAGUUGAGUGGAGCUCAGAUAGGAAGAAAAAUUGGAAGAAAGGGGAAUUCCACAUGAGUCAAGGCAUAAAGGCAGGAACUUACAUAGCUUGCUUGAGGAGUCAUAAAUAGUCAUAAGUGAACACAGCCAGGGGUGUGUCAAGAUAAACUAGAGAGGGAAAAGUUACAGAUUAGAAAGAUUCAGGUAUUUUUGCUUGAUUUUGAAUUUGAAUUGGUAACUAUGGGAUGUUUUAGAUCACGGGUCUGUUGUUUCCUGAUUAUUUUGCAGGGCCAAGACUGUCUUUAUGAAGUCAUGAUAUCUCAGAAAUAAAGUCACUCAGAAGAUGCUGCUCAAUUAGUAAUUGGUUAUUUAGAGGGAAUGAGCAUUGCAGCAACCUUCCAGUGACACGGUGUUAUUAUAAUACUGGUGCUCAUAGAUGGAAUUAGAUUAGGGUUACAAUGCCAGAAAACAGUAGGAGGGGAAAAUAUUGACUUUUUUAUUGUGAAGAAAUAUACUGUUUGAGGAGAGCAUACUGUAUUUUCUCACCAGUGCUUACCUUGUAAGACAAUGUGUGGCCAGAGAGAAGAUGGUGGUGAGUGGAAAUAAGCUUAUUUCUUCCGAUAUCAAAAAGUACUCACUAUGGACUUCCAAGUGCAUGUACCAAGUCACCUAAUUUUCCUGAAUUAGAUCUUACUUAGUUGUCUAUUAGCCCUGGAGAGCUAGAUCACGUCAAAUGUUCCCUUAUUUCAGUAUCUGGUAUGUAGUAGGAAUUUGAAAAAUGUGUUCUGAAUUAUCAUAAUGUGGUUUUUGUGGGGGUUAUGUUUGUUUUAUAAAAAGCCUUAACUAUAGAAUAAGAAGACUUCAGAAUCUAUCAUAAACUUGUGGGAGUCUGUUUUAACCCAACUCAUCUAACCUUUCUGAGUUUCACUCUUUUAGUAUAUAAAAUAGAAUUAAUAUAAUUCAUGGCUUAAUGGGAGGAUCAUUUGAAUGAUAACCUUGAUCCAUUCUCUUGGAAGGGGUAAAUAUUUAUAAAUUACUAGGUUCUAGCUUUGCCUAUAGUUAUUUUACUGGGUUUUGAAUAGCAUUAAAAAAUUAAAACAGUGGAUAGGAUAAUAGAGUGGAAUGAAGUAAAAAGAAAAUAUCAGUAGAUGGUACUCUCUAAGGGUAAGUAUUUUUUCAUGAACCUUUUGUGUAAGUUACCUGUGUUCUGAAGUUGUAAAGUUUGUGUGUCUAAUAUAUUCCUUUUUUUUUUUUUUACUUUGUUUGGGUCAUGAUUGGAAAAGUUUGAGAAACACUGUUAUAGUAAGCUCUGUACUAUCCAAAGGAGAAAUUACAGUUAACUUUUUUCAGAGGUAUGCUGCAGAAGAUCUUUGAUAUCUUCAAGAUUAUUAAAGAAAUGAUAACUUAUGAUUGUUCUUGACUUAAUGUGAAGCAUUGUAUCCUAAAUCUUUGAAAACUGAAUCUGUCUGCAAGGUAUGUGAUGGGGAUAUUAACCAAAAUGUUUAUUAACUAGCCUUAUUUUCCUCAGCCAUACUACCUAGGUGAACUUGCAAAGUAAUUGUAAUAAUGACAAUAACAAGCAGUAGAAAUGGCUAACUUCAUUUUUUGAGCUCUUCCUAUGGAUCAGGCUUUAUAAAUUUAUAAACAUUAUCCCUUUUAAUCCUCAGAACAACCUUAAAAGGUAGAUGAUAAUUUUCCUAAUCUAUGGCUGAGUUGAGGGGGUUUUUUAUUUUUAUUUUUUGUAAUUGUAGGUGGACAGAAUGCCUUUAUUUUAUUUAUUUUUAUGUGGUACUGAGGAUCCAUCCCAAUGCCUAACACAUGUUAGGCAAAUGUUGUGCCACCGAACCACAGGCAUAGCCCUUAACUGAGGUUUUAAGAGAUAAAUUUAAGUUACGUGGCCAGUUAUUGGUAGGCCAGGAUUUUAUUUGAACCCAUCUGUCUGAUUCCAGAGCAAAUUUUAAAAGAUUUUUUCAAUUCCAUGAAAAUGUAUUAAAAUGCCUACUAUACAUUAGCACUGUAUUCAUCUAUGUGGUCUCUGCCCUUCAGGGUUUACCAGCUGCUCUUGGGAUUUUACUGUGAUUUAAUAACAGAAGAUGGUAAAGGGGGCAGAGCAUUUCAUACCAUGUAUUUUAUUUUGGAAGUACUGAGAAAAGCACCUGGUACAUAGUAGGCAUUGAAGAUUCAUGGAAGUUGGGUUAAUUCUUACCCAGGAACUGGGAAGGAAAUGGAGAAGCUUUGUGCUAAAAAUUGUUAUGCAUUUUUUACUGCACCAAGCUGUGUAGAUGUCCUUUCUUGCAAUGUGGGCAGAUCCAUCUGUCCUAAACUACCCAUUAUUUUAUGGAGUUCCCACAACGUCAGAGAAAAGCCAACAAGAGCUCAAGAAUUCAAAUUGUAAACCACAAGUUCCAUUCAGCCAGAGAGAACAUUUUCCAUCUUAGUAUGAAAAGAGAAUCCUAUGGCAGAGACAUUUGGAGAAUGAUAAAUGAAGAGUGGGCUUCCUUAGAAUGGAGAAAAACAACAACAGUAAUAACGGUUGCUGCUACUGUUAUUUUUACUAAGCAGCACAUUAGAAAUAUACCUCAAGCAAGUCACAUUACUUUUCUGACCCUCAAUUUACGUAUUUGAAAAAUGUUUCAAUACUGCUCAAGGUUGUGAGGAUUAAAUAGAUCCAUUUGAUAAAUACUUAUGAAUUGGGUGAUCUCUGCGGAUUUAGUAGUAAAGGGCACAUAGUCCUCUACCCUCAGGGAAAUGUUUGAUAAGAGUGCUGUGAGAUGUGGGAUUUAGACUCCCACCACCUGCAAAGGCCACUAGAGAGAGAAUGGAGCACCCCAUAGCCUUCUUUGGAGUAUGUCUAUUAUUGUCAUGUAUGUGUCUCACUUGUAUCAUCAGAGUUUUAUGUUUAUUUAGGCAAGAAUGCUGUGACAGUCAUCUUUUUAUUUCUUCCUACCCCUGGGUCCUAGCCUUGUGUAUUGGCACAUUGCUACCUUAUACCAUAGUUACUUGAUGAAUCCAGCCCAAUUCAGCAAAUAUUUACAAAGUUGUUCAGGGUACUGUGCUGAAGAAAUGAGGGAAACAUUUGCUGAACAGCGUUGAAUUUUAAAUGACUUUAGAGCACAAAAGGAGAACAGUAUCAUGAGGUAGUGAUAAACUAUACUAGUGCUAAAAAUGCCUGUGAUUCUAUUCAGGAAGAAAAUAGGACCCUAAAGAAAAUUCAGCAAUGGGACUAAAAAAAUAAGAGGUUCUUUCUCUCUCAGUGCUGUUUUGUUGGUAUAUCAUAGGGAAACGGUAUAUUUGCUACAGGAACACAAUACAGAUGAGGUCUCAGAAAUGACUUCUUAAGGGCUAGGGUUGUGGCUUAGUGGUAGAGCACUUGCCUAGUAUGUGUGAGGCACUGGGUUCAAUUCUCAGCACCACAUGUAAAUAAAUAAAUAGUCCAUUGACAAUGAAAGAAAGAAAGAGAGAGAGAGAGAGAGAGAAAGAAAGAAAGAAAGAAAGAAAGAAAGAAAGGACUUCUUAAUUAGUGUGUGGCUCAAGACCAAGUCUAGCUGCCUUCCCAAGGCCCAGGAGAACACCUGUGGCCUGGCCCCUGCUCUGCUUUUCCAGCCUCCUGUCCUGCUGCUCUCUGCUUUCUGUUCAUGCUCCGCUGUGGAACUAUACCAUGCUGUUCCAUCUGCCGUGUGCAGAGAGACUCAUUGGUUUCCAACAUCCUUCAUCUCACCUCAUCUGGUUUCGUAAGACAAACAGGUUUCCAUCUCAUCCAGUAAGGCUUUCCUAACUCUGGGUUAGAACCACUUCUACCAAUGUCCUUCCAUCAUUGGCUUUCCUAUCGCAUAAUCAUUUGCAGAUUUGUCUCAUUUCACCAGAACCUCAACAAUCAGGACUUGGUUUAUAUCUGUGCCUGGCACCUAGUUCAUGCUUAGUUAUCAACUGUUACCCAAAUGAUGUAGUUGGAUGUCAGUUAGGUUUUUCAUAAUGUGUUUUUAUCAGAAAUACACUAUGAGUAUCCCACUCUAGUCUAUGAGUGGGAUCUUGGAUGAAAAGCCCCCUUUUGUUAUGAAGACUAGUUUUGAAACUGCUGUUGCUCAGCAGCCACAGUAGUGCAAGUUUGAGCUGAAGAUCUUGAGAAUGUCUAUUUACAUGAAACUUUUCCUGAUCACCAUGACUCACCUGUAAUUCCUCAGUAAUUCUUCCUUCUAGACUCCUUUAUGUCACUUGCUCUGUGCACCACACAGUUAACGGUGAUACAUCUCAAUAAUAGCGACCCUUUGUAUUGUGUGUGUCAGACUUUUCAAAAAGAAUUUAGAUUAUCUCAUUAAAUUCCACAACAACUCUGGAAGCAAGUAUUUUUAUCCCCACUUUGAAGAAAGAGCACCACGUAUGUAACUUAAGUAAGUUGUGUAAGGUCACCUGGCUAGGAAAUGUCAGACUUGAAUUCAAAGCCUAGUUUGUUUGAUUCCAAAACCCAUGUUCUCUGCCCUGUUUUGAAUUACUCAUCCCUUCAAAGAUAAGGACUAAUGACUAGUGGUUAUUAAUAAGGACUUUUGAUCUGGACUGCCUAAGUUCAAAUCCUGUUUAUCAGGAUUACCAGCUGAGUCCUUGGAAAAAAUCACUUCUACUCCCUGUGCCUCAAUUUCUUUGUCUAUAUACUAGGGUUGUGAGGACUUAGUGGGCCAAUGUAUGUUAAAUACUUAAAACAGUACUUGGCCUGGUAUGAUGGUCCAUAAGAGUGUUCUGUUCGUUAAAAUAUCAGCUUUGGAGCCUAAGAUAGGAUUAUUAUUCCUUUCCACACUUAUUGUGGUAUGGUCUUGGCAAAGUCAAUAAUUCACCCAAGCCUCAGUUUCCUGGUCUAAAUCCCAGUUACUCUGCCCAUAAUUCCCAGUUGUUCUAGAGAAAGAGGCAGGAGGAUCUCACGUUCAAGGCCAGCCUCUGCACCCUGGAAGGACUCUGUUUCAAAAUAAAAAAUAUGUAGCUCUAUGGUACAGUGCCCCUGGGUCCAAUCCCCAGUAACACAAAAGAAAAUAUUUCAAAAAGAAAACAAUACUUGGAAUAUAUACUGAUAAAGGUUAUCAUUAUUAUUAUCAUACAAUAUUAAUUUGUGUCCCAUUUUCAAAUAUUUACUUAGUGCCUGCUCUGCCAGACACUGUCCUAGGUGCUAGAGAUAACAGCACUGACUAGACAAGUCCCUGCAGUUGUGGAGCUUUUGUUUUAGUCAGGGAAGGCAGACAACAGAGUAAGUAGAGCAGUAGGCACUAGUAAAUGUUACCCACUAUGUGAAAACCUAUGUGAAAUUUUAUAAUUUCACAUAAUGAAAUGCUAUUAUAAAAAAUAAGAAAUAAUGGCUUACAGAGUGACACUGGUAUGUACUUGUUUUUGGACACAGUGAGGCCACAAGAGUUCAUGCAGUGUCUUGCUUCUGUUUGAUAAGCUGGAUAGUCAGUGUCCGUUCUGAAAGGUAUAGCUUUAUGUAUCCAACUGCCAACUUGUGACAUGGCAGGCCUGCCGACCUGAACGGGCUAUGAGGUGCCCAUCCCUAGAAUGUAGCAGACAAUUGAGAUGUCUGAGCCUCAAGAAAUUCCAUCAUAGAGAACUCAUAAAUAGGCCAGGCUACCUGUAAUGAGGAAAAGGCUCUUUCCUAUUUCCCUGUAUUUGGCUGUAAACUGGGUUAAAUGUCCCAAGAAAAUCAGAAGGAGGAUUUGGCCAGUCAUCCUGCUGAAGACAGGAUAUCUCAUCAGGUAAGCCUAUAUGGUUCCUGAUGGCUCCAGUGUGGGAACCUGAAACUUGAAGGUAUAAUAGUCAUUGAUAUUAGCAUAGGACUCCACAUCUCUAUUAGAGUAUUCUACUAAUUAAGAGUAUCAGCUUUGGAGGCUAAGAAAUUGGAUUUUGUUUUGUUUUAUUUUAUUCCUUUCAUUUAAUUUUUAUUCCUUCUCCCACUUAUUUUGGUGUGGUCUUGGCAGUCACUAACUGGUCCCAGCCUCAAUUUUCUUGUCUAAAUGGGGCUGAAUAAUACCUUCCUCCUAGACUUGCUUAGAUGAUUUAUUAAACAGUUUGUGUAAAGAGCCUAAAUUCACGUUCUGGUACAUAGAAAGCAGUUAAUAAAGGAGGAAUUUAAAAACUAGUUCAGUCCACCUACAGUGGGCAUUUUAGAUAUUGGUCAUUUAUUUCAGGGCUCACAGGGAGAGAAGAUUUAGACUGAAAUAUGAAACCUACUUCCCAUUCCAUUGCUUUCAAAAAGGAGAGCAGAUAAUCUCAAAACUGAGGAUAUACGAUCUCAGAAAGGAUUUUGUGGAUGCCAAAGGAAAAUAAGAUUGGAUUUGCUCCAAAUCAGUGUGAUAGAGACUGAGACAGCCAGUCCCUAUCACAAAGCUGUGUUGUCUCCAUCCUGCUGGGGUCACCAGCCCUGAGAGGCCUGAGGAUCUCUGAAGAAAAGCACAUGAUAAAAAGGCUUUGGAGUCUGAAAUCUUGUAAGGGCUGGGAGUUCAAUUCUUUCUUGUAAUAAGUGAGAAUAUUUGCUUUUGAAUGUGGGGUGAGAGGAAAAGAUGAUUAUUUUCAUAGGUCAAAGAUAUUCAGGGAAGGACUCCUUACUAACUGGAAUUGUAAAUAAAGCUACUUUAUGCUCCAGAGUGAGCAACUGGAAAGCAUUAGUUUUAGAUUACAGACAUAAACUUUUAUAUAUUUUUUAUCUCCUCUUGCCAUUGUGUAUACUAUUCCUUAAAAUUAGAUUAAAUUUUUGAGAGAAAAGUGCAGUUUAUUCUUGUCCCAAAUCUCCUUUGUUUUAAUUAGCAAUGUGUAAACUUAAAACUAGUUGAAAAACAAAACUCUCCAUCAAACACAUGUAAGAAAGGAAUAAUUUUCCAAGCAUUUGGCAACAUACUUUUUGUGUAGAACUCUGAAUGAAGCCCUAAAUAUUUUCUUCCUCUUGUGGCUCGUAGGGUCUUAGUACUGUGAUUCUCCCAGAAUUUAUUUGACCCCAUUGGCCACUAGUUCACAUUUGUUUUGAUCUUGAUGUGUUAGUCUAAAAUAAAUAGAGCAGGAAGAUUAAAGAAAAGGCUUUAAAAAGGGACUUUAAAAUAUAGAACCAUGUGUUCCUUAGCAUGCUCAGGAGCCUGGGUGGGCUGGGAAAAAGGAAGUCUCUUCCUGUGUCCCUGUUCUGUCCCUAUAAAGUCUCCUAGCAUCCUGCACAUGCCUCUUAUCACUGAUCCAUUCAGUGGGUAUUGGUUGAAUUCUUUCAGUGUACGGCUUGCUAGGAACAAGAAGUCAACCAAAAUUCAGGCCCUCGUCCUAAUCAGACUAGGAGGUAAAAGCUGAAUCAAUAUAAAGUGGUGAGUACCAGGAUAGAGGAGGAAGAAAAGGUUCCUGAGGCUGGGGGGUUUAGUGAGACAGUCUCCAGGGAAUUUUGCAAAAUUUCAGGGUUAGUUACAUGGUGGUAAGAGAAACAUUUCAUGGGCACAUAUGCAAAGACAUGGAAGGGAUGUAUUGCAGAAGGUGUUCAAAUUACAGUACUUGCUCAUGGCAUUUUGAAACUUUUGUCUACUAACAUCCCAAGACUGAAUUACUAGAGGGGAGGGAUCAAGUGUCAUGGUACUCAGUUGUCUAAUAAUAAUAACAUGCUCAAUUUUUGCCACAUUCUUAUGAACCCUAUCAACAUUACCUUAUCGACAUGCGUCACCUUGCAUUUCAGAAAACCUGAGACAGAGUAGUUAAGUAACUUGCCCAUAGCUACACAGGAAUUAGGUCAUGGGCAGUCAGUUUCUAGUACCUGUGUUCUUAGCUAUUGCUGUUCAACAGAUUUAAUAAAUGUUUGAAUGAAUUUAACUGAAUGGAUAUAGAAUAAUUAUAUGAUAAUUCAUUCAUUUAUUUAAAAGAAGUAACAUGCCAGGCAAGCCCAGGUCUGAGAGUUGUUUCAGUGAAAUCUAAGUGUCCCCACAGGCUUUGACUUUGGCUUUGGCCUUGGCUUGUGUGACUUGCAGAAACUCUCACAAGUGGAAAUGUUCUGUGGGGCUCUUAACCUCGAGAGCGUCCUGCAGACAACAACCAGAUUUGACCCAAAGUGAAAAUGAACUGAGUUUAGGUCUAAAACCAAGGAUAGCAGAAGUGGAAAGAGUAUGGAAAUGAAGAAUCAGAUGCUCUAAAUGCAGCUUUACCCACAAGGUGAGGGGGGGUGUCCUUCCUUAUAAAUGCAGUCUUUGGGAACAGCUUAAAAGUAGUUGAGGGAAAUAAUAAUAAGGGCAACAUAGCUUUAAAAGGAUGAAGUGCUCUUAUUUUUAAACUGAUCUUGAGAAGGAGAAGUAAAAGCAGAGAAGUUAGGGAACAACAGGGAUAGCAGAUUUGGCUAUGGGAAACAGGCGAGGGCCUAGAGAGUCAUCUAUUCAUUCAUUUAUGCUACCAUCAAACCAGGAGUUCUGCACUAGCUGUGUACUGGCACUGCACUGGUCUCUAGGAUUGUGAAUGAAUCAAACAAAACCUCUGUCCUCAAGGAGCUCACAGUCCAGUUACGAAGGAAGACAGGAAGCUAGAGAGUUUUGAAGUUGUGAGGUGAAUGUCCCUAACAGAAAUAGGUAUAAGGGAUAGAGGUGGGAGACUUGAGGGGGGUUGGAGAAGAGCAUGUUAGGCCUGGUGGCAGAGUGGCAAAGGGGAGAGCAUACUGUGUUCUGGUUUGUCAUUGCCAAUGCCAGAAGGUGUGGCCUGGGAUGUGCUUUCCAGUGCUUGUCUUAGUUCAAGGAGGAAGAUGGAUAUCAGUGACAGGAAAUGUCACUUCAAAUCCCACCACGUGAACAGGGGCUCUUAACUUUACCUUCUGUUUGCUUUUUAAGGAAUGACCUCACCCAGCUCUCAGGGUCUUCGUGAAGAUUAAUGGGGUGAUAAGUGUGAACAUGUUUCCCAAAUCCCCAGAAUCAAGGUGGUGAUUUAAUGAAUUCUUAUUUUAUAAGCAAGUGGUUGUAAGGGCUUUGUAAGGGUUGGUCUUAUUUCUUCUAGGGGGAAUAACACUUGUUGUUAUAUCUGCACUUCCCAUCACACCUUUCUGACCAUGCCCUGAGGAUCCUCUUGCCAUGCAUUCUGUCUGUGUAGCCACUUCUCAGGACCCACAGAAAGGAAAGAACAAUCCAGGUGGAGGGUAAAACAGGAACAACCCUGCUCUUCCACCCUGAGCAGGUUCUCAUAAAAAGCCAGAAGUGCCCUCUGCUCUCAGCGUACAGAGUGCACUGUGGCAGUGUUAGGAAAUUUCCCAUGAAAACAUGAGCAUUUUCCUUGCAGGAAAUCAGAAACUGUAAUGACUGUGAUAAUUUACCUGUGAAGUGUCUGACUUUACCCAUUCACCUUGGUGGAGGGUUUUUUGAAAGGGCAAAAGAUAAUAGAAAUCAUGUUUGUAAGUAUGAGGGAGUGGUACUUUCAUUAUUCAUUUUUUAAGAGUUCACUUAGCCCCUCCCCCUUAUAUCUAUAUAUCUGUACAUCUUCCUAUCUGGCAUUAUUAUGAGAACUUAUCAGUGAAUGUUUGUGAAGCUUUGUGAAGAUGAAGGAAAUAGCUACUGGCAUGGUGAUAAGUAGUAAUAUUUUAAAGUCUUCUUUUCUAUUUCAGAAAUUAAAUUCCAAAGAUAAAUCUUACCAGCCCUUAGAUUAGUCAUCUUUGCCACCUACAGUACAUUUUAUUGAACAGGUAUUUUCAGAAUGUUAUAAUUUGGAUAAAGAGAAUUAACAUGUAUUGAGUGUUUACUAUGUACCAAACUCUGGACCAGAUGCCUUAAAUUUUUUUUUAAUUGUAGGUAGACACAAUACCCUUAUUUUAUUUUAUUUUUUAAUGUGGUACAGAGGAUCAAACCCAGUACCUCACAUGUGAAAGGCAAGCACUCUGCCACUGAGCCCCAGCCCCAAAUUUGUUGUUUUAAGUCUUCACAAGGCAAAUAGAGUUAAACCUUUCAGAUAAAUAAAUUUAAAUUAUACUUCAGAAAGUCUUAAAUUGAUAAAACCAAGGUCAAAGCUAGAGCUGGUUUUUAAACCAGGUCAGAUCAACUCUAAACCUUGUGCUCAUUCCAUUUUACCACAUAGGAUUGUGAAUUAAGAUCUUUCCUAUAACAUCCAUUUAUUUGGCAGUAUUUCUUGACUAAUAGCACAUACAGUGGCUGGAUGGUUUUAAUCAGAUUUGAUGAUUUACUUUUUCUAAGUCUACUAGAUUUCAUUUUAUGUUGCUUGAACUUUUCCUCAGAGGUUUAGGAAAGGGUGCAGAAUUCUGUUUUUCAGUCUUAGGUUCAAGUUGCAUUUCCAGCUGAGUGACAGUGAACACUGCCUGGAGCUGCAUUUCUCCAUCAUGUGUAGAGUGACUGCACUCUACAUUUUUAGGUGGGGGGAAGUAAUAAAGCCCCCUUUGAAAAGUUAUGUGAGAUUUAAGUGAAGUAAUAUACAUAAAGACAUGUCACCAUUUAUUAUGUAUGUGCUCACUGUGGGUAGCAAAGGACAGAGUUAAUGGUAAUUGCUUGCCAAAACAUUUUCCCAAGUAACCCAAAAAGCACUUUUUAAUCAGCAUUACAACAGGGUCUCCAUAUAUUAAGCAUUUGUCAGGUUCCAGGCAGGGAUUUUGCUAGGCACUUUGUACAUACUCCUCCAUGACUAUAUUUAUGACAUUAUAUAUUAAUUACUCAUUUACUUAUUUAUUGACUUCUGUGCAGGCAGUAAAACUUUCUUUCUCCUUUGUAUCCCUGGCAUUUAACAUGAUAAUUUCUGGACCAUUGAAGGGACUCAUUCAUGUCAUGGAACCUAGUUUGGUUUUUGUUCCUCUGUACUACUUUUCUUUUUUUAAGAGCUAACUUGGUUGUGGGGAGGGACUGUUCAAAUGGAGCAUGGUAAUAUCAUGUUUAUCGAUCAUGUUUAUGGUUCAUACCUCUAAUUAAAAUAUGCCUGUAACUAAAAAAAUUUGAGGUUGCUUUAGCUUAAGAACAGAUAAAUCUGUAUGUUUGUUAGUCUUUUGCAUUUUUAAAAAGCAGAUUUCUGGGGUAAAAAGAAUGUAUCAAGAGUUGGAAGAGUUUAUCAAAUUUACUUUGUACCUGUGAUUUUGAAGGAAAAGGUACAAAGAAGUAAACUGUUUUCAGUGAGCUAGUUUUACAUAUAUGUAUCAUACCCAGAAUAUUCUUAGGAACAUAGUAAAUUAGCCCUAAAAGGGUCUCAUCUGAGAAUUACAUAUUAUGCAGUUUGAGUUAUAUCACAAAGGUAAUAUUUUUGAAACUUUGCAUGUUUUUAAAAGUCUGAUUAUUUCUAAAUUUUAAAAAUGACAGUUUGACUUUUGCCUAAUUAGUGAGGUUUCAAAAACAUAUUUUGAAACGAGCCAAAGAUUGUGAAGACAAAAAUAUUAACUUAUUUAUUCUCUCUUAAAAUCUAAAAUUCUAUUUUUAUGAGAAAAAUCAUAAAAUAUAUAUAAUAGAUUUUAGAAAUCAGAACAAUGAGGAAAUUGAGACAAAGGAAAAUUAAAAGAAUAAAAAAAUCAGGUAAAUUCAGAACUAAGAUUCAAGUCUUUUUUUUUUUUUUAAAGCAAAAGUUUGUAGUGACGUCCUAUGCUCUUUACACACAGGAUGCUGGACCUAUUUUCCUGUUAAAAAGAGGGACCCAAGGACUUAACUGGAUUUGGUGUCCAUGAAACAAAAGCAAACCUGUCAGACAGAGAACAGAGAAUAUUAGUGGCUCAUUGCCACAAUAAAGAAUUUGCCUCAGAGCAGACAGAAAUAUUCUGAUACUUAUGGCUUUUUUUUUUUUUUGCCUCCCUACUUUCCUUCUUGUUCAUGAGAUUUUUUAAUAAAUAAUGUAUUAGGAGGAUCUCCCUAUGCAGGAGGGAGAGAGCAAGGCUUAAAAAGCAUGGUGUGGAAUGCUGCUUGACAGUGUCAUACAUUCACAAGAUGUCCUUGAAGAUGGAGCACAGAACAGAGAUCAGGGAAAUUUUGGCAGCUGUGGUUGGGAAAAUAAAUGGCUGUUGUGUGAUUGGGCAGAUCCUGAAAGCAGGCUCCUGCUCAAACCAUGUAAUUAAGAAAAGUGGGAGCCUUUGUCCAAGUGCAGAAUGUUCAUAAUAUCAGAGUUUGUCAGCAGGAGCUUUUAGAACGGAUCAGUACUUUUCACUCCCUGAUCCAGGGAAUGGUUUUCUUAUAAAUCAUCUUCUCUCCUUGCUGUCCUCGUGAAGGUUGCUGCCAGGCGAUAAGGCAGACUUAAGAUUGUAACCUUGCUAAUUCACUGUGAUUUAGGUGAAGGGGAGACUGAACCAGAGACUGUUUCAAGAAAUGCAAUUUUUAUUCAUUUGGGUUCCCAUGUGUCCUCUAAUGUAGGAACAAACAGACUGUGGCCAAGGAGAGAUCCUGCAGGAUGGCUCUGGGGAGGAAAAAGAAUCAUUUUUAAUACUGUGACUCCAAACUGGUUUGAAGGACUUGACAUUUUCUUUCUUAUUUUAAAAAUAACUUCCUUUCUGAUUAUAAAAUUGCUAUAUUCUUACUAUAAAAACAAGACUAAAUUGCAAAAUAAUGAUUAAGACAAGUAUAACAAUCACCUUUAAUCCUACCAUUGAUUGUUAGCAUUUUUUAUUUUUCCCUCCUACUCUGUGUGUUUAUAUAAUUGAGAUAAUCAAUCUUUUAUUUCUUUUUCCACAUUUAUCAUACACAUUUUCUUAGGUUAUGAAAACCCAUUUAAACAUAAUUUUAACAAUUAUAGAAUACCAUACCAUAAAAAUAUGCUGUACUUUAUUUAAACGUCAGCCAUCUUCCUUGACAGUCACUUAGGUUGCUUUUGGUGGGUUUUUUUUUCUUCUUCUUCUUGAUAUUAUUUGUACUUCUGAUCUACAUAAUUUUGGAAGCUUUUCCAAGUUUCAGAAUGGAUCAUUGGGUCUAAGAAUAGGAAUCUAAAAUGCAGAACUGUUUUGCCAAUUUAUAUUUCUACUGAUAAUGAUGAGAAAGACCAUUUCAUUGCACUUAAAGCUUGACAGUUGCAAAUCUUGAACUUCUCAUUUCUAUGUAAACAUGUUGCCCAUGAAUAAUUCAAAGACUCAUUUCUCCCAGCUGAGAUCUGAAAUUCUCACCAACACAGAUUUGGCAGAGUUCACUUUUACUCCUGCUCAUUCUACCUUCCCAGAGAAUGUUCAGGGAAAUGGUGUCCAACUAAGCUUUCAGGGGCAGUUGGAAGGAUAAAGUUCUAUCAAGUCAGAAAGUCCUUUUUCCAAAAGUUUCUCUAUUAUUAAAAAACGAAAGAAAUGAAAUGGAAAAAGAAAAGCAGUGAAUGGGGAAACUAACAAUAAAACUUCAAGUGUAAUAAAAUAAUUUUCAAAUUUAAAAUUAUCCUACCAGAAUGAUGUUCAGGGUCUUUUCAUUAAUGAACAUGUAGAGAGACUAUAAAGCUGUGCGAAUCGUCCAUGAAUACAAUAGACCAUGGCCACUGUACACACAUUCAGGUACUGAGAGCUGUUUGAUUUCACUCAGUAUCUUUAGCUUCAGAAUGCCCCAAAAUAACCUCUCUCUUCUGACUUGCACAAUUGGAAGAGCGGUUGGCAUUAUACAAUUCUUUUUGAAAAAAGAGAAGGUUGUUCGACACAGAUUUUUCUAGGCAUUCUGUACUCCUCUUAAUUCUCCUCCUUAUCCUGCCCCAGCUGUGUUAAGAAAACAACUAUUUAAUUUCAAAAUAAAAUAUAUUUCUAUGUAGAUUUCUGAAAUUUUAAAUUUGAGUGUACAUAUAUUUCUAUGUAGAUUUCUGAAAUUUUUAAUUUGAGCAAAUUUAGAAACGUGUUUGCUUUUAACAGCUAAAUCUCAAUGAGUUUGCUCACACUCUGAGCCACUAGCCAGGCAUUUUAUAAAUAUACAAUACUUAAGUUUACAUGAACUGUGCCAUUGGCUAUUGCUUAUGCAUUUAAUCAAAAGAUAAAUCCGACUUAAUCAGUCUGUGGACAGUUUUUCAAAUGAUUCAUUAAAUACUCUUUGUAUGGAAGAUGAAGAUAACACAUUUACUAUCACAACUGGUCCCCAUCCCAACAGGUACCCAUAGCUUAUCAUUAGGCAUUUUAGUUAUUUUAUCCACAUUAAACAUUCAGAGUUCUGAGGGGCUUAGGUGGUAGGAUGGAAAGGAAUAUUGUUUUUCAACUGAUUUUUUUAAUUAGUCUGAGCUUUCCCAGGAAAUUAUAUUAACAUGAAAAUAUUUGCCUUUUUCAAAUAUAAAAAAGCAUAUUGAAAGUUUGAUAGUAUUUACUGGCCAUUUUGGAACGGAGGACUGAAUUGUGGGGGAUAAAGGAACAUUCCCUCUUUUUUAUAAUCAAGUGGAUGGUCAAGCUGUCCUUCAGCUCUGGAGAGUUUGCCAUAAAAGUCAGUUAAAACUAAACACCCAGGAGUCUGACCAGGAUUGCACCAGGGUGGACACACCCGGGGAAUCAUUUUAGGCUCAAAGCAAAGCUCUAAAGAAAAAACUGUAGGGCAUAAAGGAGGUCAGUGUUUAUUUAGGAGAGGAAGUGUGCGUGAUGUGUCUGGGGAAGAAGAUUAAAAACUUGGAUUUCUGUGAUUUUGAGAAUAAUGCCUGAGAGAAAUUAAAUUUUGAUUAUGCUUUUCAUAUCCACGCUGGCCCUGCUAUUUUAAGUAUUAAUGUCUCUUGUUCUCUCCAGCGACUGCUGAUUUUUUAAAAGCCCUGACUACCUCCACUGAGAAUACUUUUGGCAUGCCUGGUGUUCCUCUCACUGAAGAAGAUGCCAUUUCAAAGGAGGGAUGCCUCAAGCUUCUCUCUUUGUUACAAACAGGCAUUUGUUUAGGACAGAGGCAUUUGGACCAAGAACAGCCCUGUCAGCUCAGUAUCAGAACAGCAUAGGAUUAGCCUAAGUAUGUUCAAUGCAUGUGCUUUGGGCAAGGAAGGGAGUCAUUAGAGGAACUCUGGAGGGGAUUGCUUAAAAUAAAGGGGUGUUUACAGUUGAUUUUAAAUAAUUGUUUGUUUACCUGUUCUCUUCUGCCAUCCUUCCAGUUUGAACUUCCUGUACUGAGCACAGAUCAAAUUAUUUUUGUUUUUCCAAUUCCUAGAACAAUGCUCUGGCCUAUAAUAGCAUCCAGUAAGCUUGUGUUGAAUUGAAUACACUUGUUUUAAGGAUAUACUGAGAAUUUAUUACCACUGAACUUCCUAGAGUAAAUAGGUCUUUCAGGUUAUUUGUGCAUGUGCCCAAAGGUAUUAUUAAGCUGUCAGAGUGUUUUCCCUAGUUGAAAUUAAAUUUUUUUUCUAGAGUUUUCUAGUUACCUUCCAACAGAAUCUAUAGAAACUUGGUAUGAAUGGUUUGGGGGGCUUGGAGUGUGGUCUGCAGCCAGUGGUCUGUGUGAGUAAUCACUUCUGAGUUCCCUUUUCCGAGAGUGUUCAGAUCAAGGAUCUGGCCCCCCUCUUGGGCCCCAUGAAUAACGUGUCUUUCACAGUUGAAUCAUAACCAGGAACGUUGUAUUUAGAAAACAAUAUUAAUCUAAAGGGAAUGGAGCCAAUUAAAGCCUCUUGACAAAAGGAGGGGGAAGGAAGGAAUUUUAUGAGCUUAUAGAGGAAACUUCAAAGAAAUAUGAAAUUGGGGGGCUGUACAGACAUUUUUAGUAUCUUUCAAGGAGCAAGAAGUGAGGAAUUAUUCCUAAAAAUAAUGUCUGUAUUCAGAAACACAGAGUCUGCUGUGUAAUUUUCUAACUUUGGGGAUUUGUUGUUCAGGCUUUUGAAAGGCGGGCAAAAUGCAGUAGUCAGGACUGCUCCACCAGAGUCUAACAUACUGCAUGUCAGGAUUUUAUAAGGGUUAAGUGGGAAAUGCCUACAAAGAGAAUUAGGACUUUUAUUUUUGUUCUCAUGAAUAAUUUAAAUCUAUUUCUUUAAUGGCUUGAUUCAGUGACUGCCCUUGGUAAACAUUAUUCUUCAUGCUCUUGGGAGCACUUGUUCUAUUACAUAAGGGUUAGCCUUUAUGUAUAAAUUUUCAAAAGUCCUUCCAACAUGGUAAAAGAAAACACCUUUAAAUAUUCGUUAAAAUAUUUAAUAAGACACGUGUGUAUCUCAGAUAUACCCACCUGAGAUGUGUUCACACUCGGUGCAUUCCUUCAGCACCUUUCUGGUUUCUGGGACUGCUGACAUUUAAAGGGGUUUGAAAACAGAAGGGAAGAGUAUUUGGAAAGGAAACACUAUUUUCCUGUGACCUUCUAUGAUUCUUUUCUCUUGAUCCCUUUGCAUAAAUUGAGCAGUGAGACCCAGAGUGGAAAACUGGAAGUUGAAGAGUGCUGAGAGCCUUGUGUGGGUGCACAGAUGCCCUGCAAUGGGCUCUUGAAUGACCAAUGACAAUAACGAGUUCUGCAUCAGGGUAGACUCCUGUAAUACAGAGUUGUAGCCCUUUAGUUGCCCCACAAAGUAAAUCCUGAAUGUAUAUACUAGGUUAAAACACAGAAAUGCAAAACAAUAGUUUGUUGUCAGACUACCAUUUUUAUGGACAAUAUUGGGACAAGGAUACAAUAUGGCAUGACUGGCAGGAUUGAUGAGAGGACUAUAGCAUCACUCUUGAGUUCUCUGCAGCCUUGGACAAUGACUGUUCUCCAUUGUGAGAAGGAGUACCAGUCAUGCAACUGUAGCCUGAUUUCUCCUAAAUGUGAGCAAAUUAAAGCUUUAUGAAUAGUGGAGGAUGGAGGGAGGUGUAAGCAAUUCACAAGCUGUUGGAAGAAAUAUUAAAAGGACUUUAAGCACACUUUUAGUACUUUAGUCCUUAAGUACACUUCUAGAAUUUUGGAGUAGUCUUGCUUAAUACACUUCAAGGACUUCCCUGGCCACAGGAUGUGCUUUCUCCUCUGACAUAUCGACUCCUCAGCAAUAAAUAUUUGUUUGUUUAAUGAGUGAAUGAAUUCUAAGAGCAAGAUAUUAUAUGAACAGAUUUGGGAAGGAAGAAAAGGUUUUGUCCUUUGAUUCCAUUGCUACUCUUAGCUUUUUCUUCUAACUUCUAACCUAGUUUCUUAGGUUUUGAGUUUUUUUUUUUUUAUCUUUUCCACUGUUCUCUUCUAAUAAUAUUAACAUCAGUCAUCACUAAUAUCUGUGGAGGGAUUUCCAAGCCAGGAAUAGUGCUUAGUGUUCCAUGCACAUCAUCUUCCUCAGUCUUUGUGACAAUUUAGCGAGGACAGGUACCAUUUUUAUACCAGUAAGACCAAAGGCUGCCCUAAACCCCCAGCUUCUACUUUCUCUCUCCUGAUGCAUCAUUAAAAUGGGGCUGAGAUGAGGGUGUAGUGGGACUCUAUGUGAUAUCAGCAUGCUUAACUAAUAGGUCUCACCCCCCGCCUUGGUGUGGGCAGUGGGGUGGACAGUGGGUAAGUGGAAGAGAUUGGGUGAAAUGGGUCACCUCAUCACUGCCCCCCAAAAUGGAGAAUUAUACCCUCAUUCAAAUGGCCAUGCCUUCAUUGUCACAAGAGUACACAAGUGAAGUGGUCUGCACACCUGGGUUCCAGUCUCUUUCUGCCUCUUACUAGCAGUGUGACCUUGGGCAAGUCUUUUACUCUCUUCUGGUCCUCAGUUUCCUCAUUAAAAUUAUGGGGUUGGCCUCGGUGGCCCCCAAUGUCCUUUGAUAUCUCUUGUGUAUCUUCACUGUGAACUCAGCGAGGGCCCAUUCUUUGUCUUUAUCUCUGUAUCCCCAGGACCUACCUAGAGCAGUGCCUGGCAUGCUGGGGCUCUGUCUCUGUUCAUCUCACAUACACAGAUCUAGCUAUAGUGAAAAUAAACCCUUUUUUAUGUGCAUAUGACCUGGUAUGUCCAGGUAGUAGAGUUACAGUUAACUUAAGAGGAUAUAAGGACACCCAGAUUGUGGCAAGGGAGGUGCCAUCAAGGUUGGUUUCUCCCCCCUGACCAACCCCCCCCCCCCCCCCGUACUGUGAGAAAGAGGCUGGCAUAGCCUCUGCUCCUUACCUCCCCUCUGCAGAGAUAAAGGACCCUGGUGAUGAUCCUGCAGCUGCAUGUCUGAGGCCUUCCUGCUUGCUUUUGUUGUAUAUUUUGCAGAGAAGAGUGGUGGGAGGGGUGAGGUUAAUGCGUUGAGUGUGAGUAAUUAGUCAUUCAAACCGUCGACAUUUACAAUGACAGGAUUUGAGUGCCUACAUUAUUGUGCACUGCUCUAAUAGUUUAUCCCUGAAAUUUUCUGCCUGUAUAAUGUUUCUUAAAAUAUAUCACAGGAACAUAAAAGAUUUAAUGUAGUGCUUUGUACAACCAUUAGAGUUUGAAGUCAACUGAACCUCCUCAAUGCUCUUGCCUAGAUGCUUACUAUAAUUUUUUGUUCUUAAUUGCCAUUUAGAAAAGGGAAGGGGAAGGCAAGUCAGGGAUUUGGAACCUGGUCAGCUGCAAAAUUGGCUGCAAGACCCACACCAAAAGUUUCAUUAAAGUACAUAUGCAUUCUUGGGUACCUGAUAUAUUUGUUUGUAAUGAAAAUUGUGCUGUUAGAAUGUCAAAGGCAUUAGCCUGAGGAAGCAAGUGUUCUGAUUUUGCCAAACCCACCUCUGUUUGGAUGACGUGCUUCCCACGAAUACGCAUUUUCUCUACCUCUGGUCUGAAACAGACCAAGUAGAGAACGCAGGUGUCCUCUCUUUAAGAUCUCUCAUAACCUUAAAAUGCUCCGGUUUUAUAUUCAGUAUCUUUACAUCUUAGCAACUUCUCCUAUUUUCCAGGUAAUGUUUUAAAAUCCUCUUGAUUUAUUCAUAUAUCAGAUUUGAUGUGGCAUUUUUACAUUUCCUUUUUUUUUUUUUUUGGUAUCCUGGUAUCCUGGGAUGCACCAUUAAGACCGCGACAGGGAUCUUAUUACAUAAGAUAUAUUAAGACAUUUGCAAAUGUUUUUCAGCUUUCAGACUAUAUAUUUUUAUUGAGAAAAUUCUGUGUGAAUGUUAUGUUCAUUAAUUCUUCCUAGAUACACAAAAGUAUAACUACCUAGUGUGUGUGCAGAGCAGAGAGAGCUCCAUCUCCAUCACAUAAGAAUGACAUGACCUAAUUUAUGAAUAUGGUUGCUUGAGGUAGCUCAGUGGCAAACAUUACAUCUCAUGGGCACCACUGGUUGUCUAAUCUACAAAUAGGGCUCAACUUUGGGAGUCAACAUAAAUUUAAAGAUCCACAUAAGAUGUAAGGAGAUACAGAAGGCUGUUAGUGGAACUGAAAUUACUUUACCUGAAGCCUUGAUACUUCCUAAGCCUUUUGGGAGCAGGAAUACCUGUAAGAUGGUCAUAUGGACAAAUGCUGGCUUUCACCACGUUUGUGAAGUGAAUGUCUGUCAGACACAAGUUGAACCUGACUAUCAGGUGACCUUGAACAUUUUUGGUCUCACAGAGUCUCAGUAAGCUCAGGGGUGGUGCACAUUCUUCUAUAUUCUCCAUCAUUAGCACCAAAAAAUCUGCAUCACUUUGGUGCAGGAUAUUUUCUAGGUGUCUGUAGGGAGCUCUGAGAGGGGUAACAUGAGAAAGGUAGUAAUCAAGAAAGCAGCUCUGUGGAUUGUAGGACUGGUUUGGGGGUCUUAAAUAAAAAUACAGUAGUUGGGUUGCUCUGAGGGUCUGCCCACCAGGUCUAAUGAGAUGGAUAAACUCCAAUUUUCCAGUUCCUUAUUGAGUUGGCUGUGCUUCCUAUAUUUGUUGCCUGGACACAUAACUCAGUGAAGCAGUGAGACGACAUAGCAAAUGGAGGUGCUGUGCAUGACCAGGAGGCCAGACAGCUUGGCUAUGCAGAGCUGGCCCAGGAGGCCUGACAGUGUGGCUAUUGAGAAACUGCCUCCCAGCCAGGAUCUCUGCUGAUGCUCUACAACAUCUUGUCCAUUAAUGAUGCCUGCUAACCCCUGCUGGGCCCAGCUCCCCAGUUUUUUUCCUGGACCCUUGCCUUGAGGGCAGAGCUGCUGAAUAGGCUUUGCUGAGCACAGUUUCUAUCAGUUUUUUUUUUUUUGUGUGUGUGUGUGUGUGUAGUUUUUUUGUUUUUGGGUUUUUUGUUUUUGUUUUUGUUUGUUUGUUGUUUUGUACUAGGGAUUGAACCCAGGGGAAAUUUACCACUGAGCUACAUCCCCAGCCCGUUUUGAAUUUUUAUUUUGAGACAUGGUCUUAGUAAGUUGCUUAGGAUCUUGCUAGGUUACUAAAGCUGGCCUCAAACUUGAGAUCCUCCUUCCUCAGCCUCCAGAGUUGCUGGGAUUAUAGGCAUAUGCCACCACACCUGGCUGGUUUCGAUCAUUUCUGAGGAGAGCUUGGUUUAAGAUUCUUCUCAGAAGCUUUUUGCUUUCUCCUUGCUGUCUGGACCAGCCUUCUGGAAUGCUACAGUUGACCUGAAGCCAAGAAGAAAGUUCUGGUGAUGUGAGAAGUGGAGCCACUUAAAUUACUUGCAUGAUGGUAAAGAACCUAAGACGCUACUCACCGUCCUCAGUCCGCUUUAUUACCCUAGCUCUUCUCAAGACUUCAUGUUUUUCUUUUGGUUUCAUUUCCCAUUUGUGACCAUCAAAAGAGGAAACAGUAUCACUGGGGCAUAAUGAGGAAUAAUAGUGAUGAUGUCUCUAGGUACUUUUUAUUGUAGAUACUUCUUAUAUAUGAGCUUUCAUCCUGAAGAAAACCAACCCUGCAUGGGAGGUUUUAUUCUAGUUUUCCAGAAGAGAAAUCUGAGGCUCAAAGUCACAGCUAAUAAGUGAUAGAGCUAGAAUUUUAAGGCAGCUGUUGUCUUGGCUCCAAAACUAGUUUCUUCCUCCCCCCACCAUACCACUCUUCUUCAAAUGAGAAAACAAGUAAAAACAAAAUAAGUUAAAAAAAAAAAAAAAAACCAAAAACAGUCUGUGAACAUUGGUGAGGAUGUGGAGGAUCUGGAACUUUCAAUCUUUACCUGUGGGAAUAUAAAUUGGUACAUCUACUUUGAAAAACUAUUGGCAGUAUCUACUGAAACUGAACAUACAUAUACCUUAUGACCCCCCAAAACAGAAUCCUAGGAAUAUACCAAACAGAUACAUGUGCAAAUACCUAACCAAAGAUUGUGCAUAAUGCUCAUAGCAGCAACAACUCUGACAGUUGAAAACUAGAAACAAUCUAGUUCAUCAAGAGAUAAAUUAAAUGUGACAUUUUCUUACAAUUAAAUUUUCAAUAGUAUAGGGAAAGAACAACAUAGUACUACACAGACAAUAUACAUGACACUUCAGACAGGUGAAAAGACUACACAUGGUAUGAUUCUAUGCAAACUUUCAAAAAUAGGCAAACGGGAUCUAUGGAUUAGAAGUCAGAAUGGUGGUUACUUUGAGGAGGGUGAUGUAAAUGACGGGAGAGGACAGGAGGAUUUCAUGGUACUAGUCACAAUCUAUGCUACAAUGUGAAAGUUGGUACCCAGGUGUCAGUUGUGUUUACUUUGUAAACAUUCUUUGCAUUUGUAGCCUUGAGGUUUGUACACUUUACUUCAUGUACGUGAUAUUCAACAAAAAUGCUUACCCCCCCCAAAAAAAAUUCUCUGAACAGUAAAAGGGUAAUAGUAAUAGGAUCUACUGUUUAUCAGAUAUCUGUUACACCUUGAUUCCCUAAUGCCACAUAGCUGGUGAGUGGCAGGGCAUGAUUCCAUUGCCUAAGAGUUAAGAAGUGAUUUCAGAGGAGACAGAAGCCAUAUGAUAGAUAAACAGGGGACAGUGAUAAAAUAGAAUGGAAAGGUGGGACCAAGAAGACUAGGAAGCCUGGGUGCAGGCCCAGAUUUUGCUCCACUUUCUUGAAAUGACAAUGUCACUGGAUGUCUUUGGACUUAAUCCCAGAUAUGAAAAUACUGAGCUAGAUUUUAUUCCCUAAAGUGUCUUUUGGCUCUGCAGUUUUGUGAUUUUCCAUUUUUGUUACCCCAUACAGGGCAUCUUCAUGGCCUUGCUCCCUCAGUUUAAACCCAUUUUCCAUCUAAAAGCAUCAUCAUCUCGGCAUUGUCCCUGAUUGCCUUUAUUCUGUGAGCUGGGGACGUUGUACCUCUAUUCAUGCCUAUUGUCCUGCCACCAGCCAUGCACCUGUCUGUGUCCUGGAGACUACAAGCUCCUUGAGGACAGGAACUCUUAAGAAUUUUUUCCACUAGUAUGUUGCCUGAGACAGUUCACACACCCAAGGAAAUCUUUUUUCAAUUAAGUAUUUAAAUCCAGAGAAAGUCCUUCCCCGCCCCCGCCAAGUAAUGUACAAGAGGACAGUCUUGGGCUACACUGGACCUAAGGUGGAGACCUGGAAAAAACUUUUUGUUUUUUGUUUUAUUAGAGGUCUGGAAGAAACAGCAGCCGAAUGGCUAGAUUUUUAAAAAAAUCAUUAGAUGAUUUUUCAGCUCCCUGGCAUGUACUUGUGAAAUCACAAGUUUGAUCAGUGUUUAAGCAUCAGUGGAAAUCUCAACCCUUCCCAUAUGGAACGGCCCCGCUUAAUUCAAUGUCAUUUUACUUUAUGAGAUAGUUAAUAAACAGGUACUGUAUUUGAUCUUGUGAGUGUAGCCCUCUAUAUUUAGCUUUUUCAGCUUUAAUGGAACUAUAAUUUUAAUCAUGAUUAUUACUUUACAUUUUAAUUAUAAUUUGGUGUGGCUUAAGUAUACAUUUCUGAGAGUGAUUGUGUAAUGAAAACAGGAAUUAGCUUUUCAUUAACAAAAUAAUGGGAGAGUUCCCACUGCAUUCUAGUCUGUGUUCAAAAUCUAAGGGCUGGCCUAAAAAUAGCAAGGGGAGUUUAACAUUUUGGUUAAAAACAUGCUUCUAAAGUGGCUGUGUUCACAACCCAGUCUUUCUUGCUCCAUCUUGCUUCCAUCUUGUUCUCUUCCUUUUCAAAAAAUAAAAUAAAAUAAAAUUUUAAAAGGACUUUGAUUGUGUCUUUUCAGAUUUGAAAAGGUUUCUUUUAUUAUUAUUACUUUUAGAUAAUUAGCACCAUGGAGCCUCAGGUGUCAAAUGGCCCGACAUCCAAUACAAGCAAUGGACCCUCCAGCAACAACAGAAACUGUCCUUCUCCCAUGCAGACAGGGGCAGCCACAGAUGACAGCAAAACUAACCUCAUCGUCAACUACUUACCCCAGAAUAUGACCCAAGAGGAAUUCAGGAGUCUCUUUGGGAGCAUUGGUGAAAUAGAAUCCUGCAAACUCGUGAGA